GUUUAUGGUGUGAUAACUUCCAUCUUGUUCAAACUAAGUGUUGAAGCUGAAAAUACACAUCCACUUCGAAGGAGUUGAAGUUUACGGCUGCAUGGUGAUAUUAAUAAAUAUUUUACGAAACGUAUUUCUUUAAACUACAUAUUUAAAAUAUAUAUCAUGUAUAUAUUUUUUUAUAUAUCUGCGUACUAUUCGUCACAUUUUGCGGCCGCAUACAAGUAACACGCUAUCACUUGUCAAGCGCUUCCCAUAGCUACCCAAUGCCUCUAUCGCUAAAUUCUUUAAAGCGAAGCUUGUCGUUCUUGCUUGAAUCUCCCAGCUUUUAUGCAGUGGGUGGCGGCUAUGGGAAGAACAGGCUUUUCAUUUGAGGGCGGUCUUGAUGAAAGGAGUGUGCUCUCUGUAAGUAUUUGCAUAUUUUCUACAAAAACUACAUAGGGGAUAAUCAUCUGAUCGAAACUCGAGCUCAUUGCUUCUGCAAGUUCAUCUUCUGGUUAGUUUUUUGGGAUUAUAAAGAAAAAACCUGGAUGCUGAAAGUAAAAUCUGUUGUAGGCGUGUUGGCAGCUCCACAACCUAUGUAUUCUAUGGUAAACAAGGGUGGCAGAAUGAGCACAAUGAUAAUUAUAGGCUGUCGUGUUUGUGAAGACCAGAAGAGGCUGGUGGGAAGAGAAAUGGGAGGACGGGCUCAUUGUAAUGAUACCAAACACAUGGAAACAAUGUGUUUGACUCCGUUCCAGCUAUUCCUUUCACACACAAGAUCAGACACUCAUCUCAGGAGUGGAAGACGAAUUAGAUUGACCCAACUAGUUCCUUCAACGGGCCUUUGAAGUCUGACUUCCAGUCUGAGUCUCCCUCCAUGGAUAGAAUUGCGAUUACACUGCAUAGACAUGGCACGUCAAAUUGACACAUUUUCUUUCAAUGCUCAUAAGCUAAAGAGCUGGUCACCCCAGAAAGACUAUGCCAACAAAUCCAACAAUGUAGGGCUACUAGUGUAACGUGUGUCAUGGAAUGGAAAGAGAGUAUUUCUCAGUGAGUUGCUAUAACAGAUAUUUGCACAGAUGCUCACCUUUCCAGAGAACUUUCACAAAAAAACUUGUUACCCACCCAAUCCAUAUCUGCCAAAUAAUGCUUUAAAAUCAAUGACGUUUGUUGGAGGGGUAUUACAUCCAUACUGUAUCUGAUUAACUAUUUAAUAUGUCACCAUAAAUCAGCCUAGGGCUCUAAACCUGUACCUGUUGUCGUCAGGACCUUCCAUUUAUCUGUUAUUAAUGUGUCAUCUACAAAUUAGGUUAUGGGAAGUUAAAGAAAUUACAACAUUGUUCUCGGUAGGUAUGGUUCUGUAACCUAUCAAAUAACUGUUCUGUCUGGAACAGACAUCUAAUAGUUUGUUUUGAAGGAAAAGUAAGAGAUUAUUCCGACUGAUUGUAUGGUUAUUACACAGUAAUAAUUAUUACUGAUUGGAUGUUAUUAUACAGUAAUUAUUAUAACUGAUUGUAUAUUACACAGUAAUUGUUAUUACUGAUUGUAUAGGUCAUUACACAGUAUGAUACUUUAGAUGUUGCAGGUUGUACUAUUGCUGCUGCUAAUGUUGAUCAUUAGUAUUGUUUAUAAUUAUAUUGAUGGCUGUCAGCCCAUGACUGAUGCACUUGCAUUGUAUGUAUUACCUCUGGGACAAAUAAAGUGGAAACCUGAACUUGAUUCUUCUCCUAUUAAUAUACAAGUGCCUCACUAAGCUGGUUGUGUAAGGGUUGGGUAGUACUUUCUAAAUGUAAUCGUUACAGUUACUAGUUACCUGUCCUAAAUCAGUAACGUAACUUUUGGAUUACCCAAACUCAGUAAUGUAAUCUGAUUACUCUGAUUACUUACUUUUGGAUGACUUUCCCUUUAAAGGUCAACUGCCC
rnacentral:lncRNA from 13 species